UUUUAUUUGAGAGUUUGAUCCUGGCUCAGGAUGAACGCUGGCGGCGUGCCUAACACAUGCACGUUGAGCGAUUUACUUCGGUAAAGAGCGGCGGACGGGUGAGUAACGCGUGGGUAACCUACCCUGUACACACGGAUAACAUACCGAAAGGUAUGCUAAUACGGGAUAAUAUAUUUGAGAGGCAUCUCU
rnacentral:rRNA from 1 species